GCUUAUGGUCAUACCAGCCUGAGUAUGUCUGAUCUCAGAAGCUAACUGGGCUUGGGCCUGGUUAAUACUUGGAUGGGAGACCUCCUGGAAAGACCAAGAGCUGUAAGCU
rnacentral:rRNA from 1 species